rnacentral:rRNA from 1 species
UACGGGGGGGGCAAGCGUUGUUCGGAAUUACUGGGCGUAAAGGGCUCGUAGGCGGCCAACUAAGUCGGAUGUGAAAUCCCCAGGCUUAACCUGGGAACUGCAUCCGAUACUGGAUGGCUUGAAUCCGGGAGAGGGAUGCGGAAUUCCAGGUGUAGCGGUGAAAUGCGUAGAUAUCAGGAGGAACACCGAUGGCGAAGGCAGCUCGCUGGGACGGUACUGACGCUGAGGCGCGAAAGCGUGGGGAGCAAACAGG